rnacentral:rRNA from 1 species
AUUGAACGCUGGCGGAAUGCUUUACACAUGCAAGUCGAGCGGCAGCGCGGCCUUCGGGCUGGCGGCGAGCGGCGAACGGGUGAGUAAUGCAUCGGAACAUGCCCAGUCGUGGGGGAUAACACUUCGAAAGAAGUGCUAAUACCGCAUACGUCCUGAGGGGGAAAGCGGGGGAUCGCAAGACCUCGCGCGAUUGGAGUGGCCGAUGUCAGAUUAGCUAGUUGGUGGGGUAAAGGCCUACCAAGGCGACGAUCUGUAGCUGGUCUGAGAGGAUGAUCAGCCACACUGGGACUGAGACACGGCCCAGACUCCUACGGGAGGCAGCAGUGGGGAAUUUUGGACAAUGGGGGCAACCCUGAUCCAGCCAUUCCGCGUGAGUGAAGAAGGCCUUCGGGUUGUAAAGCUCUUUCGGCAGGAACGAAACGGUGGGCUCUAACAUAGUCCGCUAAUGACGGUACCUGAAGAAGAAGCACCGGCUAACUACGUA